CCUACGGGAGGCAGCAGUGGGGAAUAUUGGACAAUGGGCGAAAGCCUGAUCCAGCAAUGCCGCGUGAGUGAUGAAGGCCUUAGGGUUGUAAAGCUCUUUUACUAGGGAUGAUAAUGACAGUACCUAGAGAAUAAGCCCCGGCUAACUCCGUGCCAGCAGCCGCGGUAAUACGGAGGGGGCUAGCGUUGUUCGGAAUUACUGGGCGUAAAGAGUACGUAGGCGGUUAUUCAAGUCAGAGGUGAAAGCCUGGAGCUCAACUCCAGAACUGCCUUUGAAACUAGAUAGCUAGAAUCAUGGAGAGGUUAGUGGAAUUCCGAGUGUAGAGGUGAAAUUCGUAGAUAUUCGGAAGAACACCAGUGGCGAAGGCGACUAACUGGACAUGUAUUGACGCUGAGGUACGAAAGCGUGGGGAGCAAACAGGAUUAGAUACCCUGGUAGUCCACGCCGUAAACGAUGAUAACUAGCUGUUCGGGCUCUCAGAGCUUGAGUGGCGCAGCUAACGCAUUAAGUUAUCCGCCUGGGGNGUACGGUCGCAGAUAACUACAANAGAUAGAGCGNGAGACGUGCGACGACGACGACGAGGGAGAG
rnacentral:rRNA from 1 species